GUGGGUGUAGCUCAGCUGGUAGAGCACCUGGUUGUGGUCCAGGAAGUCGCGGGUUCGAGUCCCGUCACUCACCC
rnacentral:tRNA from 1 species